ensembl:lncRNA uncharacterized LOC114852102
AUGAAUACCCAGAACGCAGAGAUGGACGUGGAGUCGCUCCAGAAGCGCCGACGCGGAUGCUUUCUGGACGCUUUUCUCGUCGGCUCCGUCAUGUUCCUGUUUGCAGCAGUGACAACGCUGGCUGUUGUCGGAGUCAUGACCGUGAAGGACGUAGAGUCCAGACUGAAGCCCCCUUCGUGGACCAGCGAGUCCGGGCCGUUGAAGUUGACGGACGUCUCCUCAAGCGCGGUCUUCACGAAUUUUGCCUAUCUGGAAGCCACCACAAGUGGGUUGAAGAACGCUACCAUGCAGUGGGCUGUGCAGCAAACCUCUGUAGGACACAACUUCCAGUAUGACCGCACCAAUCACUGGAUGAUGCCAGUGCAAUCGGGGAACUACUUCAUGUAUGUUAAUCUCAACUUCACCUGCACUCAUAUCUGCCCGUCAGGUGACUUCACCAUACACGUUGGUGAAGGUGUUGUUGAUAAGUUGAGCUGCAAGGUGCACCUACCGAAGCUGCAAGACUCCACGGCAGUGAUCAAGAAAUGCUGGACAGUGAGCAGUGUCGCGUCUAAGCAGAAACUCAUAUCUCACAUGACUGUGCCUAAGGAGGGACUGGACAACUGGAGCCUGGAUAUGGGAUUGGGGAUGUUCCUCGUGGACUAAGCUGACGGCUGCUGUGCCGCUGCCGACAUCAGGAUGCACAUGUACCUGUGACCUGUAAGUCACGACGGAGGAACAACACAAGCUUGCGUCGCAGGUGCUGUCUUCAAAGCUUCAAAACUGCAGCCCAAGACAAGGAAGCACAGUAGGAUCCUACUAAGCUGCAGUAGUGACAAUGCGCUGAUCAUGUGUUAAGGAGCAGACACUCACCCCAUUUUGUGUAAAUAUGUAUGAAUAUAUGUAUAGUAAUGUAAUAAGUGAUAUAUUUAUUUUGUGAUGUUAAACUAUUUAUACUGCUAUUUAUAAAUGUUGUUGCUAUUUUUAUAGAAAUGUAUUUGGUGUAGGUAUCACUACCAGUUGCUGUGCAAUACCCUGCAAUUUUAAUCAGUCUCUGCUGGUUUCAUUGUACAAAUGUCUGGGAACAUAAAGUUGAUUGUACAAAAAAAAAGAUACGUUUGCUCCAAGACGACAACAAGCACCACAGGAACCCUAAUGUUAGCAACAUACUGUAGGUAGGAUAAGACUAUACACUUGAAAUAACCUUUGCAUGAAUAAGGUCCAAUAGAAACGCUCCAUGUGUCAUCGCAUUCUGAGCAGAAAGACUAAAUAUCUGUUUUCUAUGCUUUGAACUGAAACUUGGUUUUAAAAUACAUGUGUCCUGUUGAAAAACUACUCACUGUUAACAACAUUGUAUUCCAGAUUAAACACAAAAUGAAAGAGGAGUAUGGUUAAAAAUGAGUUUGCUGUGGUGUAAAAGGCAGAAAAUGACGAGUGCGAAAGUAAUAAGUAGAUUAUAUAAGUGUAAAGGUAAAGGAAAGUUCCUUGCCAUUACGCAGACUGUACCGGGAACUGGAUGUACAUCAUUUCCUGUUUAUUUACCAUACAGGGUGGUUUAAGAAAAAAACUGCGUGUGAGAAAAUACAUAUAUAUAUAUAUAUAUAUAUAGUUAUACCUCCAGUAUGAAAUAAAACCAAGAUGCACUUACA